rnacentral:tRNA from 1 species
GAAGAUGUAGCUCAGUGGUAGAGCACCUCUGGGUUCAAUCCCAGUAUCUCCC